UACAGAGGGUGCGAGCGUUAAUCGGAAUUACUGGGCGUAAAGCGCGCGUAGGCGGCUUUGCAAGUCGGGUGUGAAAUCCCCAGGCCUAACCUGGGAACUGCAUUCGAGACUGCAUGGCUAGAGUAUCGGAGAGGGAAGUGGAAUUUCAGGUGUAGCGGUGAAAUGCGUAGAUAUCUGAAGGAACAUCAGUGGCGAAAGCGACUUCCUGGACGGAUACUGACGCUCAUGUGCGAAAGCGUGGGGAGCAAACAGG
rnacentral:rRNA from 1 species